rnacentral:rRNA from 1 species
CCCUUAGAUGUCCUGGGCCGCACGCGUGCUACACUGAGUGGAUCAGCGGGUCAGGUUACGCGAGAGCGUUUCCUAAUCUUCAAAUCCGCUCGUGAUGGGGAUUGACGGUUGCAAUUUUCCGUCAUGAACGAGGAAUACCUUGUAAGCGCGGGUCAUCAUCCCGCGCUGAAUACGUCCCUGCCCUUUGUACACACCGCCCGUCGCUCCUACCGAUUGAGUGGUCCGGUGAGGCUUUGGGAUCUAAGCGAAAAGAGCGUUUCGCUCCUUUUGCUGGGAGAACUCAGUCGAACCUUAUCAUUUAGAGGAAGGAGAAGUCGUAACA